rnacentral:lncRNA from 1 species
GAAAAAGGCAAGAUUCUAGGCCAACCAGAAGAUUUAGAAACUGCUAACCUUGUUGAUAUUCACAAUGCAACCCAAUAUUAUAUUGAGCCUACAGAUGUUUCGUGGAUUGGGCACUCUCUAACAGAGAAGAUGGGAGACCCUGGAAGACCUGUCAUUUCUAUCUCUAUAGGAUGUCACAGCUUUCCAGAGGCUAUCUAUGAUUUCAGCGCAAGUGUCAACAUCAUGCCCAAGGUAAUUUAUGAGAAAAUAUUAAAUGAUCCCAUGUUAUACACAAAUAUGCGUUUAUAGCUUGC